UACGUAGGGUGCGAGCGUUAAUCGGAAUUACUGGGCGUAAAGUGUGCGCAGGCGGCCGCGCAAGUCGAGUGUGAAAGCCCCGGGCUUAACUUGGGAAUUGCGCUCGAAACUACGUGGCUGGAGUAUGGCAGAGGAAGGUGGAAUUCCACGUGUAGCGGUGAAAUGACGUAGAGAUGUGGAGGAACACCGGAAUGGCGAAGCAGCCUUC
rnacentral:rRNA from 1 species